CCUACGGGUGGCAGCAGUGAGGAAUAUUGGUCAAUGGACGAGAGUCUGAACCAGCCAAGUAGCGUGAAGGAUGACUGCCCUAUGGGUUGUAAACUUCUUUUAUAUGGGAAUAAAACGUUCCACGUGUGGGAUUUUGUAUGUACCGUAUGAAUAAGGAUCGGCUAACUCCGUGCCAGCAGCCGCGGUAAUACGGAGGAUCCGAGCGUUAUCCGGAUUUAUUGGGUUUAAAGGGAGCGUAGGUGGAUUGUUAAGUCAGUUGUGAAAGUUUGCGGCUCAACCGUAAAAUUGCAGUUGAAACUGGCAGUCUUGAGUACAGUAGAGGUGGGCGGAAUUCGUGGUGUAGCGGUGAAAUGCUUAGAUAUCACGAAGAACUCCGAUUGCGAAGGCAGUUCACUGGACUGCAACUGACACUGAGGCUCGAAAGUGUGGGUAUCAAACAGGAUUAGAUACCCCUGUAGUC
rnacentral:rRNA from 1 species